GCGCCGAUAGUCCAGUGGUUCAGGAUUUUCCCUUCCCACUUAUACCGACAGGGAGAGACCCGGGUUCGAACCCCGGUCGGCGCA